rnacentral:rRNA from 1 species
UACGUAGGGACCAAGCGUUGUUCGGAUUUACUGGGCGUAAAGGGCGCGUAGGCGGCAAUUCAAGUCAUCUGUGAAAUCUCCGGGCUUAACUCGGAACGGUCAGAUGAUACUGCUUUGCUAGAGUGCGGAAGGGGCAAUCGGAAUUCUCGGUGUAGCGGUGAAAUGCGUAGAUAUCAGGAAGAACACCCGUGGCGAGGGCGGCUCUCUGGGACGGUACUGACGCUGAGACGCGAAAGCGUGGGGAGCGAACAGG